AGAGUUUGAUCCUGGCUCAGGACGAACGCUGGCGGCACGCUUAACACAUGCAAGUCGAACGAGAGAAGAGGAGCUUGCUUUUCUGAUCUAGUGGCGGACGGGUGAGUAACACGUGAGCAAUCUGCCUUUCAGAGGGGGAUACCGAUUGGAAACGAUCGUUAAUACCGCAUAACAUAAUUGAACCGCAUGAUUUGAUUAUCAAAGAUUUAUCGCUGAAAGAUGAGCUCGCGUCUGAUUAGCUAGUUGGUAAGGUAACGGCUUACCAAGGCGACGAUCAGUAGCCGGACUGAGAGGUUGAUCGGCCACAUUGGGACUGAGACACGGCCCAGACUCCUACGGGAGGCAGCAGUGGGGAAUAUUGCACAAUGGAGGAAACUCUGAUGCAGCGAUGCCGCGUGAGGGAAGAAGGUUUUAGGAUUGUAAACCUCUGUCUUCAGGGACGAAAAAAGACGGUACCUGAGGAGGAAGCUCCGGCUAACUACGUGCCAGCAGCCGCGGUAAUACGUAGGGAGCGAGCGUUGUCCGGAAUUACUGGGUGUAAAGGGAGCGUAGGCGGGAUCGCAAGUCAGAUGUGAAAACUAUGGGCUUAACCCAUAAACUGCAUUUGAAACUGUGGUUCUUGAGUGAAGUAGAGGUAAGCGGAAUUCCUAGUGUAGCGGUGAAAUGCGUAGAUACUAGGAGGAACAUCAGUGGCGAAGGCGGCUUACUGGGCUUUAACUGACGCUGAGGCUCGAAAGCGUGGGGAGCAAACAGGAUUAGAUACCCUGGUAGUCCACGCCGUAAACGAUGAUUACUAGGUGUGGGGGGACUGACCCCUUCCGUGCCGCAGCAAACGCAAUAAGUAAUCCACCUGGGGAGUACGACCGCAAGGUUGAAACUCAAAGGAGUUGACGGGGGCCCGCACAAGCAGUGGAGUAUGUGGAUUAAUUCGAAGCAACGCGAAGAACCUUACCAGGUCUUGACAUCGUAUGCAUAGCUCAGAGAUGAGUGAAAUCUCUUCGGAGACAUAUAGACAGGUGGUGCAUGGUUGUCGUCAGCUCGUGUCGUGAGAUGUUGGGUUAAGUACCGCAACGAGCGCAACCCUUACUGUUAGUUGCUACGCAAGAGCACUCUAGCAGGACUGCCGUUGACAAAACGGAGGAAGGUGGGGAUGACGUCAAAUCAUCAUGCCCCUUAUGACCUGGGCCUCACACGUACUACAAUGGCUGUCAACAGAGGGAAGCAAAGCCGCGAGGUGGAGCGAACCCCUAAAAGCAGUCUUAGUUCGGAUUGUAGGCUGCAACCCGCCUACAUGAAGUCGGAAUUGCUAGUAAUCGCAGAUCAGCAUGCUGCGGUGAAUACGUUCCCGGGCCUUGUACACACCGCCCGUCACGCCAUGGGAGUCGGUAACACCCGAAGCCUGUAGUCUAACCGCAAGGAGGACGCAGUCGAAGGUGGGAUUGAUGACUGGGGUGAAGUCGUAACAAGGUA
rnacentral:rRNA from 1 species